GGACUGGUAGCUCAGCUGGUAGAGCACUUGAUUGAAGAUCAUGGUGUCGGUGGUUCAAUCCCAUCCCUGUCCACCA
rnacentral:tRNA from 1 species